GGGCGAGAGUGAUAGGUCAGUCCUAAGGAGGGGGAUACAUUCAAACUGAUUGGUUUGGGCCCUGAGGUGCCUACGUGCCGAGCUGCACAGGGUCCAGGUUGUUAAGCAACUAAGUGGUCAGAGGGGGAUUUCGACACAUAUCUAAUGGGCAGUUCCGGGAAUUGUCUUAACUGCCACAGGAAUUUCAGGUUCUGAGUGCAGUUCAGAAACUUUACAAUACCUGGUCCUUUACAUUUUAACUUCGGUUUCUUUUAUCCUUUCAUUCCCCACUCCUUUUUCUGACUACUUUUAAUCUUAAAAGUAAUGAAUCAUAAUUAUUGGGGAGUCUCAUUCUCCAUCUCUGUCAGUGAAGCAUACUGCUGUCUGAUUACCAUGAGUUAUCCUGCAUUUCCUGGAAUCAUUUUCAGCAUGGCCUCCUUUUUAGAUUUCACUCGGUAUUAGACCCCGAUUUACCUAACUACACUGACUACCUAACUUUAAAUCUGGCUUCAUUCCCCCCUCUAAUUUGGGAACUCCUUACUGCUGUAAGGAAGGGGGGCGAAGAAGAUCUUUCUGGCUUCUUCAGGCUGAAAAGGGACGGUGUGGGGCAAGCAGUUUGGAGUCCCCCUUUAAAAAUCGGGUCUAUCGAGUGGUCCAUGAUAAAAGUCCGAUUGAGAAGUAAUAGGCUGGAGGGCCAUUUGAGUGAUGGGUGGUCUAUAAGAGAAACAAGAAUUCAUUAGUACUGGAACCAUAUUGAUGCAGCAAUAAAUGCCACCACACAGGAAUAUGCCAAUGAGUAUGAUGACAAAGACAAAGACUAACAAUGUUUUCCACCAGGAAGUACCAAGAACCAGGAGCUAAGAUGUUGUUUCCAUGACAAAGUUGCUGAGGACAUGGCUUCUAUCUGAGCAUGUAAAUCUUUAAGGAUAUUUGUCACAUUGCCAGAAAUGUCAGGGAUGUAAACACAACAUUUAACAUUUAGGUUUACAGAUGUCCUUUCCCUUAAGAUAUAGUCUAAUAAUUUAAUGUCAUCUGAUCUAGCAAAAUCAUUUUACUAGUAUGACCUGUGUCUAAUAGAGAAAUCUUUAAUUCUGUUACUUAGGGCUGGAUAACCAUACUAGCAAACAUUAAGCCUACCUGUGUAG
rnacentral:lncRNA from 1 species